rnacentral:rRNA from 1 species
GACGAACGCUGGCGGCGUGCUUAACACAUGCAAGUCGAACGGAAAGGCCCUGCUUUUGUGGGGUGCUCGAGUGGCGAACGGGUGAGUAACACGUGAGUAACCUGCCCUUGACUUUGGGAUAACUUCAGGAAACUGGGGCUAAUACCGGAUAGGAGCUCCUGCUGCAUGGUGGGGGUUGGAAAGUUUCGGCGGUUGGGGAUGGACUCGCGGCUUAUCAGUUUGUUGGUGGGGUAGUGGCUUACCAAGGCUUUGACGGGUAGCCGGCCUGAGAGGGUGACCGGCCACAUUGGGACUGAGAUACGGCCCAGACUCCUACGGGAGGCAGCAGUGGGAAAUAUUGCACAAUGGGCGGAAGCCUGAUGCAGCAACGCCGCGUGCGGGAUGACGGCCUUCGGGUUGUAAACCGCUUUCGCCUGUGACGAAGCGUGAGUGACGGUAAUGGGUAAAGAAGCACCGGCUAACUACGUG